GUGCCAGCAGCCGCGGUUAUACAAAUAAUACAAAUAAAUUUUUUUAGAAAAAUAGUAAAAAUUGUAAUAAUUAAAAUUAAAAAUAAUUUUAUUAAGGGGGAAAAUUUUUAAAAUUUUAUAAAAAUUUUAAUAAAGUUAAUUGAAGCUAAGAAAUUUUAUUUAUAAACUAGGAUUAGAUACCCUAUUAUUUAAAAUGUAAUUUAAUUACUAAAGUAGUAAUAGUUAUGUUCUUGAAACUUAAAAAAUUUGGCGGUAUUUUAGUCUAUUCAGAGGAACCUGUUCUGUAAUCGAUAAUCCACGUUGGGACCUUACUUAAGUUUGGUUUUUCCGGCCUAUAUACCGGCGGUAGCCAAAAAUUUUAAAAGAAAAAAUAAUUUUCCAAAAAUUUAAAUUUGAAUUUAUUUCCAAACCAAGGGGGGAGCUAAUAUUUAAGGUAAAAAAGGGGGUUCAAAAAAAUUUUUUUUUGGGGUUUUAAAAUAGGAAAAAUCCCUUGGAAAUGGGGUUUUGAUAGUAAAAUUUUUAUAGAUUAAUAUUUGGAUUAUAGCCCUAAAAAAGGGCCCCCCCCCCCCUCCCCUUUUUUUAAAAAAAAAAAAAAAGCGUAACAAGGGGGGAGAGCUCUAGUCCCUCAAACCCCUAGUGAAUCCCCGCCCCCCCGCGGGGGGCCCACAUGGGGG
rnacentral:rRNA from 1 species